UACAGAGGUCCCGAGCGUUGUUCGGAUUUAUUGGGCGUAAAGGGUGCGUAGGCGGCGGAGUAAGUUGGGUGUGAAAUCCCGGGGCUCAACCUCGGAAUUGCAUUCAAUACUGCUUCGCUCGAGUACUGGAGAGGAGGCUGGAAUUUACGGUGUAGCAGUGAAAUGCGUAGAUAUCGUAAGGAAGGCCGGUGGCGAAAGCGAGCCUCUGGACAGUUACUGACGCUGAUGCACGAAGGCCAGGGGAGCAAACGGG
rnacentral:rRNA from 3 species